GUUGGUCUUCCCUAAGAAGCUGGUUUCACGUGGUGGUUUAGAUGUGUCUUUCUGUUGUCUAGCACCAUUUGAAAUCAGUGUUCUUGGGGACAGCAGGAC
rnacentral:pre_miRNA from 1 species